AAGUUCAGACAACUUCUUCCUGAUUGCCCACUGUGCCAGGUGUGAAUGUUCUGCAGGCCUAACCUACCCAACCAGUUUGAAUACAAUGGAAAGCCUGUUGAUGGCCCAUCAAGACAAGUGGGCUGUUUGCUCUGUGUGCUCCGGGCACAUACUCAAAGUUCUUUGGCGAGAUAAGAGUGGGUGAGGUUUGCCCUGGCGGCUCAUUCUGUCCAGCAGAGCCUUCGCUCACUUCAGGUGGUACCUUUAGAAGUUUGAAGACCAAGUGUAGGAAGAAGCUGGGGUCUGUUUAGGUUAGUUAUUGCUUGUUUGUUUGUGUUUACGUCAAGCGAAGACGUACAAGGAUGAACACUGAGUACUUACAAUCACUGGGAAAAUAUGAAGAGCUCUAGAAUCCACAACACCACUGACAAGGUUUCAUUUAAACUACCCUGAAGGCUACAAUGCCAAAAAGAGGCCAUUUACUCUAAUCAACGUUUAUGUCAAUUUGAUGGAAACACAUCACUGGUGGAAAAAUGUACUAACAUGUUACUGUAUGAGGCUUUUUGUUGCUUUUUGGUGCUCUGAUGGAAAACAUUUGAUUUUAUUAGGAUCCCCAUUAGCUGAUGCCAUAAUGUUAGCUAAUCUUCCUGGGGUCCAACACAGAACUAAAAAGACACUAGAAAAAUUACAAUUUUAAGACCGUACAAACAUUUAGUAGAGUAGACAAGUAGACAUUACGGACAAUUAAAAUACCUGACAGGUAAUAGAUUUAACAUUUAGUAGAUGCUGCUAAUGGUGAUGAGUGAAUGAGUAUGCUUCAUUAAAGGU